rnacentral:lncRNA from 1 species
GCGGGGCCGGGACCCCACCGCUAGCCGCGCAUGGUGCAGCGGCCACCGCGAUGCGUGCUCGUUCGCUCGCUCACGUGCAGCAGCUCUGCAGACCCCAGCCCGGACGAGGCUCUAGAGCGCGCGCCGCACUGCUUGCUGCUCCUCCUUCUCCUCCUCCUCCAACUCGGGCCUCGCCCGCCUCACCCGGUUUCCUUCCAGAACCAGCUUCCAAACUGGCUUGCUGGGAUGGGUUGGUCAGGUCUCUGCCGCCUCUUUCUCAGGUGGAGGACAGUGGACGGUUUGUGGAGUCUGUUUCUCUCUCUCUACCUUUACAUGGCUUCGGAGGAUCAAGCUCAGGUCCUCGGGCUUGUACAGCAAAGACUUCGCCCAGCGAACCAUUUCAGCUGCCCCAUCUCUAAUGUUCUUUCCCUUUACCAGGCUAUCAGAAGAGAGGGAUGGUGGCUGUAUCCCGGGCAUCCCAGCAGGAAGGACUGGGUUAGAGGCUCCUGGCUGAACAGAACACUCAGAACUGGCAUUUCAGGCUCGCCUCACAACAUGAACGAGACUAGAUUCGUGCAGGCAGCUGGCCUCAAGGAGGGGGUGUACCCACUGAACUGUCUGCCUCUUGAGUUCAUCAUGCAGACACGCAUACGUGAGUAUCUUGUCCCCACAUUUGACAGAACUAUGGAUUUGACAUGCAAGCCAUGUGGUUCCAAUGCCAAGGAGUGAGGCACUUGGGGCACCAGGCCAGGGCUGAAGUGAAACCAGAUUCCCUGGGUGUACCUAUUUCCUGAAUUGGCUACCCUGGGACAAUUUGAUUUCCUUCAGUUAUCUGUUGCCUGCAAGUGCCCAAGUCAGUAAGGGUCCUAGGGCUACCCAUGUUGAAUAGGAAUUCAUCCGCUCUCUGGCUGUCACCCCUGGCCCCGUCACCUCUCCUCUUGACAGUUGCAACAGCCUUCCUAGGCUCCUCUCCAACCUGCCUGAGAGGAAACUUAUAGCGCACACAUUUGUCUCCAGCCAUCUGAAGCCUGUGUUGUAGAGUCUCAGGCCCAAGACUGGCCCUGCCACCCCCUCAGGCUUAGACACAGCUACUGCCUCCGGGCCACCUACAUCUUGGGGGCUGUCUCAGCCUCCUCCUUGUAACUGGCUGGUUUGGGGGUGACCCACCAUCUUCAGAGUCCAUCUUCCCACCCUCAACAUAAAAUUGAUCACAGUGUUGCCACUCUCAGCCUCUUCCCUGCCAGUGGCUCUUUCACCAUGCACCCUUAUCACUGGGUCACUUGUCCUGUCUUGUCACUCCCAGAAAAUAACAAGCCCUGAGCACAUAGGUGCCCAGUACAGAUUCUCCCAAGGUCUUGAAGGAGUUUUGGAAACGCCAUCCUAACACAGUACGCUUGACUAUGCUGGCUCCUUUGAAUUGAGGCCUGGGGACAGGAAGCAGGAGAGCCUUUACCCAGUGAACAGUCUGGGCAGCUCUCGUUUUAGUUUUUAACACCGGGUCUUGCUCUCUAGCCUAGAUUAAUCUGGAAGUCAUAAUCCUGCCUCUGCUUCUAUAGUGCUGAGAUUACAGAUCAGAUGUGCCCCCACCAUGUCUAGCUUCUGUAAAGAUCAAGACAAUGUUUAAUCUCUAUGGAGCUCCUCCGUUCACCUUCCCAAAAUUUGUCGCUUAGCCAUCCUUCCAUCCCGGGAGCCCAGAGCCCAUAUUCUUUUCUAUAGCACCAACGGUUUUGCAAUGAACCACAGGUUUUCUCUGUUUGUUUGUUUGUUUGUUUGUUUGUUUGUUUGUUUGUUUGUUUGUUUUUGAGGUAGGGUGUCUCUACAUAGCCCUGGAUAUCCUGGAUAUCACUAUGUAGACCUGUUUGGCCUCAGACUCAGAGAUUCACCUGCCUCCACCUCCCUAGUGUUGGGACUAAAGGCUUGCACAACCACACCUGGCAAUUUUUCUUCUUUUUUGAGAUGGAGGUCCCAUGCACCUCAGGAUGGACUUAAACAUAGCUUGUGGCUAACAGAAGACCUCAAACUUCUGAUCCUUCUGCAGCUACCUCUCGAGUGCUGGGAUUAAAGAGGUUUGCCACCAUGCCCAGCCCUGGUACCGGGGAUUGAGUCCAGAGCCUUGUACAUGCGCAGCAAGCACUCUACUAACUGAGUUACACCUCCAGUUUCUUCCUGUAAGAGAAAUGCUGUGUAGGCGUGUGUGCCUGAUUGUGUGUAUGUGCCUCAUGUCCAUGCAGUACCCAAGUUAGCCAGAGUUACAGGCAGCUUUAAAUGGCUUGAUGUGGGUGCUGGGAACCAAACUCAGUUUCUCUGUAAGAGCAGCAGGUGCUUAAUCGCCGUGCACCUCUCCCGCCCCAGCUUUCCUCAUCUUCAUCUGUCUAAGGAUAUCUUAAUUAGUAGACCAACAAAGAUCUUUUAGGAGGGCAGAGAGAGAUGUCUUGCCUUCACUCCAGUCUCCUCUGGGGCCUGACAGUUGGCCGGGCUCCUCUCCAAUGCACUGUCUGCCCCCCAAAGGAACUUCGUGGCUGUUUUCUAACAAGGAAGAGGAGAACAAGGAGAGGUGGUUCUUGCUGUGGACCCUGGUUUUGUAAUUGCCUGGUGACCUUUCUGAGCCCUGGAUUCUUGGCUUUGUAGAACAGGAUAAAUCACUGGCUUAAGUUCACUCAGGUGCAGGAACUGGUGUGAUGUACAGAGACUUGACAGCCCUGCAGCCCCCACCCUUCACUUCUCACCCUCCCUCCUUCCUGCUCUCUCCUGUCCCCUUGGAGCUGAGCCAACAUCCAACCUGAGAGAGAAGACUUGGGCUCUGUUGGAGGCCACUAAGGACCCCAGUCUUUGCAAAGAGCUGGCUGACGGAUACUGCUCGAUACCGCAGCUUCCUCGUGGGCCAUAGGUGACUGUCUUUCUCCUGGGUCCAGUCCUCCCUCUCAUCUUGGCCUGAAAGCAGAUUUGGAUUGCCCUGCCUGAGCCGACAGAGCUGGGAGGCGCCUUCACUUGGCUCCUCUCCUGCAGCCCUUCCUCCCUUGGUGACCUGGUGACCUGGGUAGCCCCAGGCAGGCUGUGGGUGGAAGCUGAGACCUGCCAGGACAUGCUCAGGUGCCCGCAGCUCAGACCUGCAGGAGCCAUCCAGGACUCAAGGGUGAGACCCGGCCCCGGAAGUCCAGGCUGCCCAGCUAGGCCACAGAGAGAACUGGACCAGCCAGUCCAGGAGGAGCUGCCAGCCUAAGUGGCCACAGCACUUUGCUCCAUCGCUAUGGAAGCCUGGGCCCCAGGCUCUCAAGGGUUUAGGACCUGGGGUAGGGGUCUGGCCUAUAAGGCAGUGUCGGGCACACUCAACCCUACUGAGCACACUCCAGCGGGGUAAGAUGGUGGCACUUGGUAUAUUAAGUGUAUUUACCUCAGUACUUUAAAAGGAAAGGGAAAAUAUCAGCUCAAUAAAGUGACCUUGGAUUCUUAAAAAAAAAAAAAAAAAAAAAAAA